rnacentral:misc_RNA from 1 species
GAUGAAGAACGCAGCGAAAUGCGAUACUUGGUGUGAAUUGCAGAAUCCCGCGAAUCAUCGAGUUUUUGAACGCAAGUUGCGCCCGAAGCCAUUCGGCCGAGGGCACGUCUGCCUGGGUGUCACGCAUCGUUGCCCCCCCAAACUCCGGUUCGGGCAGGGCGGAAGUUGGCCUCCCGUGCGUGCCUGCGCGCGCGGUUAGCCCAAAAGCGAGUCCUCGGCGACGAGCGCCACGACAAUCGGUGGUUUUUUUACCCUCGUUCCUCGUCGUGCGUGCCCCGUCGCCCGAACGCGCUCUUGCGACCCUUACGCGUCGCCUCGGCGGCGCUCCCAACGCGACCCCAGAUCAGGCGGGACUACCCGCUGAGUUUAAGCAUAUCAAUAACGGAGGA